GAAAUGCGAUAAGUAAUGUGAAUUGCAGAAUUCAGUGAAUCAUCGAAUCUUUGAACGCAUAUUGCGCCCCCUGGUAUUCCGGGGGGCAUGCCUGUUCGAGCGUCAUUUCACCACUCAAGCCUCGCUUGGUAUUGGGCAACGCGGUCCGCCGCGUGCCUCAAAUCGACCGGCUGGGUCUUCUGUCCCCUAAGCGUUGUGGAAACUAUUCGCUAAAGGGUGUUCGGGAGGCUACGCCGUAAAACAACCCCAUUUCUAAGGUUGACCUCGGAUCAGGUAGGGAUACCCGCUGAACUUAAGC
rnacentral:misc_RNA from 1 species